GACAGAGGAUGCAAGCGUUAUCCGGAAUGAUUGGGCGUAAAGCGUCUGUAGGUGGUUUGACAAGUCUUUUGUCAAAGAUCAGGCUUAACCCUGGGCCGGCAAGAGAAACUAUCAGACUAGAGUUCGGUAGGGGCAGAGGGAAUUCCCAGUGGAGGCGGUGAAAUGCGUAGAGAAUUGGGAGGAACACCAAAGGCGAAAGCACUCUGCUGGGCCGCAACUGACACUGAGAGACGAAAGCGAGGGGAGCAAAUGGG
rnacentral:rRNA from 1 species